GAGCUGAGCGCUGCAGUGAUCCUCCUGGUUUGCUGCAAAGCUAUAGUUCAGCUCCCCUCCGUCCCAGGCAGGGGAAGGACAGGCUGGAAGGACACCACAGAGCGCUUUGCUUUCUCUUCUUUCAACUUGAUCUGUGCUUAGUUUUUCUGGCAGUGGCAGUAUUUCAUAACUUUGAGAACUCUAAUAACUGUGGGGCCUCUGACUCGAAAGGAAAUGCUUUCCUCAGUGGGGAAAUGCCCUCCAGUUCCACGAAGAGCAUGUACACUAAAUUGAAAAGCAAAACAAAUACUCAUCAAAGCUUCCUGCAAAAAUUUGGGAACUUGGGUUCUUUUUUUUCUGCUGUUUCUUUUUAAAGACUGAGGAGGUUUAGAACAGAGAAAAUAGCCGGAGCAAGGGGUUUUUGUUGUUUGCUCAAUGUGCAUGUGGGAGCGUGUGAGAAGAGGAAGGAACAGCCGGCCUGGCAUUAGCGCGGAGCGUGAACUUGACUUGAUCCAUUGGAGGUGGAUCUUGUGCUUCUGAUCAGAUGAAAACAGGAUGGCAGUUUCAGCAUCUCCAGCGACAACAACACUUCUGCUGACAGUACUAGCAAUCAGCCAUUUUUAAACGACCUUAGCAAAUCCACUUGUCACAGGAGAAGCAUCUCUUUUGCUAUGCAAGGGGCUGGGGUCCAUUCUUGUGUCUCUUUGCUAUUCUCAUGGAUGCAUAUUAAGUGUAUUUGCGCUGGUGUUGCCUAAAACUCUGCCGGCCUUGCUGAGAGCUGAAGGGCUGCACUGCCGAGAGAGCAUCAGGUCAGAAAAUCACCUUUCGUGAGGCUCUGUCAGGUGCGUCAGAGGCACGGUGCUGCCCUGUGGAGGUCAUAUAUUCGUCCUCGGGGCUGUGUCCUUUCCCCCAGCCUCCUCACCACCUUGUCUGAAAGCGUGUUGUCCCUCUGCGGGCCUUGAGGGCUGGCGAGGAGCAAGCUGCAGCCAAAGAGCCCCUCUGGGGCUAGCUCCGGCCAACCUCCUUGCAUGCUGCUGGCCCGUCUGCCUCUCUGCUGGUCUAACACAAAAAUGUGUCUAAUAAAGCAGAGUUUGUUGCUGAAAAUCA
rnacentral:lncRNA from 1 species